GCUGGAGUUAUAGCUCAGUGGUAGAGCGCUUGCCUAGCACAUACAUGAGGGACUGGGUUUGAUCCUCAGCACCAGCA
rnacentral:tRNA from 1 species